rnacentral:rRNA from 1 species
UGGGGAAUUUUGCGCAAUGGGGGAAACCCUGACGCAGCAACGCCGCGUGAGUGAUGAAGGCCUUCGGGUCGCAAAGCUCUGUCAGAGGGGAAGAAAUGCAGGGGUGCUAAUAUCAUCUUUGCUUGACGGUACCCUCAAAGGAAGCACCGGCUAACUCCGUGCCAGCAGCCGCGGUAAUACGGAGGGUGCGAGCGUUGUUCGGAAUUAUCGGGCGUAAAGCGCGUGUAGGCGGUUUGGUAAGUCUGAUGUGAAAGCCCCGGGCUCAACCUGGGAAGUGCAUUGGAGACUGUCAGACUUGAAUACGGGAGAGGGUAGUGGAAUUCCUAGUGUAGGAGUGGAAUCCGUAGAUAUUAGGAGGGACACCGGUGGCGAGGGCGGCUACCUGGACCGAUAUUGACGCUGGGACGCGAAAGCGUGGGGAGCAAACA